rnacentral:lncRNA from 1 species
AUACACCUGAUUCUUCACUAUACAUGAAGAUGAAGAUAGGCUUGGCGUUAUAAUGUCUCAUCUCAAGCAAAAGAAUGAUGCUUUUCCCCUUUUGAUGGGGAAACAGCCUCGUCUAAUUGUUGAAGAUCUUACCUUAGUUUCAGUUGAUGAUUAUCUCGUUUCUCCAAAUGAACUGGAUAACUUUGAUAGUCCACUAAAGGCCACAAUAGAAGAUUUCUAAGGUAUAG